rnacentral:tRNA from 1 species
CAGGGCGUAGCUACAACACAAAGCACUCAGCCUACACCUGAAAGAUAUCUGCCACCCACCAGAUCACCCUGA